rnacentral:rRNA from 1 species
CCUACGGGGGGCUGCAGUGAGGAAUAUUGGUCAAUGGACGAGAGUCUGAACCAGCCAAGUAGCGUGAAGGAUGACUGCCCUAUGGGUUGUAAACUUCUUUUAUAUGGGAAUAAAAUGUUCCACGUGUGGGAUUUUGUAUGUACCAUAUGAAUAAGGAUCGGCUAACUCCGUGCCAGCAGCCGCGGUAAGACGGAGGAUCCGAGCUUUAUCCGGAUUUAUUGGGUUUAAAGGGAGCGUAGGUGGAUUGUUAAGUCAGUUGUGAAAGUUUGCGGCUCAACCGUAAAAUUGCAGUUGAAACUGGCAGUCGUGAGUACAGUAGAGGUGGGCGGAAUUCGUGGUGUAGCGGUGAAAUGCUUAGAUAUCACGAAGAACUCCGAUUGCGAAGGCAGCUCACUGGACUGCAACUGACACUGAGGCUCGAAAGUGUGGGUAUCAAACAGGAUUAGAUACCCCGGUAGUC